rnacentral:rRNA from 1 species
GUGGGGAAUAUUGCACAAUGGGGGAAACCCUGAUGCAGCAACGCCGCGUGAGUGAUGACGGCCUUCGGGUUGUAAAACUCUGUCUUUGGGGACGAUAAUGACGGUACCCAAGGAGGAAGCCACGGCUAACUACGUGCCAGCAGCCGCGGUAAUACGUAGGUGGCAAGCGUUGUCCGGAUUUACUGGGCGUAAAGGGAGCGUAGGUGGAUAUUUAAGUGGGAUGUGAAGUACUCGGGCUUAACCUGGGUGCUGCAUUCCAAACUGGAUAUCUAGAGUGCAGGAGAGGAAAGGAGAAUUCCUAGUGUAGCGGUGAAAUGCGUAGAGAUUAGGAAGAAUACCAGUGGCGAAGGCGCCUUUCUGGACUGUAACUGACACUGAGGCUCGAAAGCGUGGGGAGCAAACAGGAUUAGAAACCCUUGUAGUCC